CGUAGAAGAAGUUAAGUCACUGGAGAGUGAACAAGGCUGGAGCCUUAGUGGUGCUGGUGGAUCAGGUGCACGCUAUGUACCAGGUAGUGUCCUUGGGAGAGUUGCUUCUUUGGACAGCCUCAGUGAUAACUGCUGAAAAUUUUAAACAAACCAGAGCUCUGGCAGGACCCUGCUAGACGCUUCGUCCAAACAUAUCAUCUUACAACUCAGAUAAAAGGAUCUGCUGGAUUUUCUUUUGGCUGAGAUAAGACAUUUGUAUUCAUUGAAACCAAUGUUAAUUGGCCUGGAAACAUCACAUUGCUGUGACUCAGCAGAGGACCUUUUUCUGGAGAGGCACUCCACCUGAGCUUUUCACAGCAGCCAAUGUGUCACAUAACUUCUCUUACGAGUCUCCUGAAGUCCUGGGGGUCAGCCUGCAAAGUGAAAAAUGCAGAGAUCUAGGAAUGGCUCAGCCAGCUGAAAGUUACGGGAAGGGAAAGGCUCCAGUUUCACUGAAGGAAAAAAAAAAAAAAAA